GAUGAACGCUAGCGGCAGGCCUAAUACAUGCAAGUCGAACGGUGUCUUCGGACAUAGUGGCGCACGGGUGCGUAACACGUAUGCAACCUACCCUACAUUGGGGGAUAGCCUUUCGAAAGGGAGAUUAAUACCGCAUAAGACAGUAGCUGGGCAUCCAGCAGCUGUUAAAGAUUUAUCGAUGUAAGCUGGGCAUGCGUCCAAUUAGCUAGUUGGUGAGGUAACGGCUCACCAAGGCAAUGAUUGGUAGGGGAACUGAGAGGUCAAUCCCCCACACUGGCACUGGGAUACGGGCCAGACUCCUACGGGAGGCAGCAGUAGGGAAUAUUGGGCAAUGGACGCAAGUCUGACCCAGCCAUGCCGCGUGCAGGAUGAAGGCGUUAUGCGUUGUAAACUGCUUUUAUACAGGAAGAAACGACUCUUGCGAGAGGCAUUGACGGUACUGUAUGAAUAAGCACCGGCUAACUCCGUGCCAGCAGCCGCCGUAAUAC
rnacentral:rRNA from 1 species